GCAGGCUGAUUAGUUGUAAGGUAGCAAUACUGGUCUUCCAAACCAGCAAUAAGGGGUUCGAUUCCCCCAGCCCGCUCCA
rnacentral:tRNA from 1 species